GACGAACGCUGGCGGCGUGCUUAACACAUGCAAGUCGAACGGAAAGGCCUCUUUCGGGGGGUACUCGAGUGGCGAACGGGUGAGUAACACGUGAGUAACCUGCCCUUGACUUUGGGAUAACUUCAGGAAACGGGGGCUAAUACCGGAUAGGAGCUCCUGCUGCAUGGUGGGGGUGGGAAAGUUUCGGCGGUUGGGGAUGGACUCGCGGCUUAUCAGCUUGUUGGUGGGGUAGUGGCUUACCAAGGCUUUGACGGGUAGCCGGCCUGAGAGGGUGACCGGCCACAUUGGGACUGAGAUACGGCCCAGACUCCUACGGGAGGCAGCAGUGGGGAAUAUUGCACAAUGGGUGGAAGCCUGAUGCAGCAACGCCGUGUGCGGGAUGACGGCCUUCGGGUUGUAAACCGCUUUCGCUCAUGACGAAGCUUUGUGUGACGGUAGUGGGUAAAGAAGCACCGGCUAACUACGUG
rnacentral:rRNA from 1 species